AAAGAAGCUCCAUAAUAGGGAAAGGCAGUUGUUAUAAAUCUCUCAUAUUCAUUGUGUCUGAAGGGCCGAACUGGAAUCUGUUUGGAAAGGGACAAGCUAGUGUAUCCAAGCCUCUCAUACUCAACCUUAAACUGGAAAACCCCGUACACAUCAGGCACCUUGAAUGUUGUAUGAUACAGACCCUUCUGGUCAGUUGAUAGGGUUUUCAACACAUAAGGGCUCAUCAU
rnacentral:misc_RNA from 1 species